CCCGCACAAGCAGUGGAGUAUGUGGUUUAAUUCGAAGCAACGCGAAGAACCUUACCAGGGCUUGACAUCCCUUGAAGCAGCUAGAGAUAGCUGUGUCCUUCGGGACAAGGAGACAGGUGGUGCAUGGUUGUCGUCAGCUCGUGUCGUGAGAUGUUGGGUUAAGUCCCGCAACGAGCGCAACCCUUGUCAUUAGUUGCCAUCAUUUAGUUGGGCACUCUAAUGAGACUGCCGGUGACAAACCGGAGGAAGGUGGGGAUGACGUCAAGUCCUCAUGGCCCUUAUGGGUAGGGCUUCACACGUCAUACAAUGGUCGGUACAGAGGGUUGCCAAGCCGCGAGGUGGAGCCAAUCCCUUAAAGCCGAUCGUAGUCCGGAUCGUAGUCUGCAACUCGACUACGUGAAGUCGGAAUCGCUAGUAAUCGCAGAUCAGCAUGCUGCGGUGAAUACGUUCCCGGGUCUU
rnacentral:rRNA from 1 species